GCCAGUGUGGUGUAGUGGUUUGAGUGUUGGACUAGGAUUCUGGAGACCAGGGUUCAAAUCCCUGCUCAGCCA
rnacentral:tRNA from 1 species